rnacentral:misc_RNA from 1 species
GAAAUGCGAUAAGUAAUGUGAAUUGCAGAAUUCAGUGAAUCAUCGAAUCUUUGAACGCACCUUGCGCUCCCUGGUAUUCCGGGGAGCAUGCCUGUUUGAGUGUCAUGAAAACCCUCAACCUUAGAUUGGUUAACACCUUUCUUUGGCUUGGAUUUGGACGUUUGCCGAUGAUAAGUCGGCUCGUCUUAAAAGUAAUAGCUGGAUCUGUCUCGCGACAUGGUUUGACUUGGCGUAAUAAGUAUUUCGCUAAGGACAUCUUCGGAUGGCCGCGUUGCAAGACUAAAGACCGCUUUCUAAUCCAUUGAUCUUCGGAUGAAUAUUCUUGACAUCUGGCCUCAAAUCAGGUAGGACUACCCGCUGAACUUAAGC